rnacentral:lncRNA from 1 species
CCGAUGCUGUCAAAGGAUACAUUGGUUGGUCUGUGUUCGUCUCUAAAGGCGCAGCAGAAGAUGAAGCCAUUGGAGGAUGGAAAUGAGGUACCACCUGCAAUUGCAAGCUCCGCAGCAGUAUCAGCCAGGGCCAGGCUGUGAGUGAUAUGCAUGCAUUGCACCAGUUUAUAUUCAUCAAUAAUGAUGGUUACAAUCCAACCAACCUGUGUUUUUUUUUUGCGGGAGAACCAACCUGUGUUGUUGUAAUUCAUGUACUGCUUUUGGACUUGGAUGGUGUGAUUUAGGGACCCGGACGUGGCGCCAUGAACUCAUGUUGUUGUAAUCUUAGACCCCUGCUUGUGUUGUAAACUGAUGUAUGUGCAAAACCUAAAUGGGCUGUCUGUGACACCAUACAAUAUAUGGUGGCUGUUGAGACAUAUAUGGCAAAUGGCGAUGAAAUUAAUUAGCUGCUUACAUGAAAUUAAACGUAUACCUCGGCAUGCUUGUAUUAGUUUCAAACACAUUAGCUGCUUGCG